rnacentral:rRNA from 1 species
CCUACGGGGGGCUGCAGUCGAGGAUCUUUAGCAAUGCCCGAAAGGGUGACUAUGCGACGCCGCGUGCAGGAUGAAGGCCUUCGGGUCGUAAACUGCUGUCAGGGGGGAAGAAACCUUACGUAUGAAUAAUACGUAAGCUGACAUCACCCCCAAAGGAAGCCACGGCUAACUCUGUGCCAGCAGCCGCGGUAAGACAGAGGUGGCAAGCGUUGUUCGGAUUUAUUGGGUGUAAAGGGUCCGUAGGUUGUUGUGCAAGUCUGGUGUGAAAGCCCACGGCUCAACCGUGGAAUUGCAUUGGAAACUGCAUGACUUGAGUAUCGGAGAGGUGAAGGGAAUUCUCGGUGUAAGGGUGAAAUCUGUAGAUAUCGAGAGGAACACCAGUGGCGAAGGCGCUUCACUGGCCGAUUACUGACACUGAGGGACGAAAGCAAGGGGAGCAAACAGGAUUAGAUACCCCAGUAGUC